rnacentral:misc_RNA from 1 species
GCGAGUUGCAAGACUCCCAAACCAUUGUGAACCUACCUGUACCGUUCCUUCGGCGGGCGGCCCACGCCCUAACCACGCCGCCCCUCGCGGGCUGGCGGACCCGCCGGAGGCCCCUAAACCCUUAGCUUCUUUGGCACCUCUGAGUACACUUUUAAUAAGUCA